AUGGACCCGCCCGUGACCGGACCGAGAGCAUGUUAUCGCACUCCUCGUCUUCUCCAAUCGACACACCCCGCCGCUCCGACACGGGCGCAUCAACGCCGGAGCUCCCCUGCUCAGCUUCGCCGUGCUGCUCCCCUGCUCUCCCGCACGUCCUCCUCCGCCGCCGGGGAUGCCUACGCCACCGCUCCCUCCUGCCUCGCGCAGCUCCCCUGGCCCCCUUGCCUGCCUCCCAAAUCUCCCCUCUUUCACCCCCAAAGUUGUUUCUUCUUCCUCCCGCUGCGUCUCCUGCUUGCGCGCUGCGGCGACACCUCCUCCUCGUUGCCCCCGACGCCGGAGGAGGCACGGGGAAAGCAACAGUGUCUCGCGCUGCGCUUGCGCCACCUCGGGUGUGCGUGGGCCUACGGGUCGGUCGCCGCCUCGGCCGUGCGCCAGUCCGCAAAGGAGGAGGAAGGGGAUUCCGUUCGCCGCCAAGGCGUACUGGGUAUGCUCCUCGAGUCCCCGCUCUUCAGGCCCCUCCUCACCCCCCUCAUCAAGAAGCAGAACAACAUGACGCAGAUGCUGUAG
rnacentral:rRNA from 1 species